rnacentral:rRNA from 1 species
CGUCGAACGGCUGCUGACGGCCUUUAGAAAUAGAGGUUUUCCCGCAAGGGACAGUAGUCGAGGUGCUGCAUGGCUGUCGUCAGCUCGUGUCGUGAGAUGUUGGGUUAAGUCCCGCAACGAGCGCAACCCUUGUCCUGUGUUGCAACUUACAGGCACUCUCAGGAGACCGCCAGCGAUAAGCUGGAGGAAGGUGGGGAUGACGUCAAGUCAUCAUGGCCUUUAUGUCCAGGGCUACACACGUGCUACAAUGGACGGUACAAACCGUCGCAAACCCGCGAGGGGGAGCAAAUCGGAAAAAACCGUUCUCAGUUCGGAUUGCAGGCUGCAACCCGCCUGCAUGAAGCUGGAAUCGCUAGUAAUGGUAUAUCAGAACGAUACCGUGAAUACGUUCCCGGGCCUUGUACACACCGCCCGUCACAUCACGAAAGUGGGUUGUACUAGAAGUCUGCGCGCCAACCGCAAGGAGGCAGCGGCCCAAGGUAUGACUCAUGAUUGGGGUGAAGUCGUAACAAGGUAGGCGUAGCGAG